AUCCUCUGGUUUCCCUUCAGAUCAUAUACAUCUUCUGCCUUUUACUAAAGAUUUUCUUGGAGAGGAACAACUCUGAGUUUUUACCCAACUUUUUGAGUCCUUGCACUUGCAGGGCU
ensembl:snRNA U5 U5 spliceosomal RNA